rnacentral:rRNA from 1 species
CGUGUAGGCGGUCUUGAUUAGUCUGAUGUGAAAGCCCUGGGCUCAACCCAGGAAGUGCAUUGGAUACUGUCAGACUUGAAUACGGGAGAGGGUAGUGGAAUUCCUAGUGUAGGAGUGAAAUCCGUAGAUAUUAGGAGGAACACCGGUGGCGAAGGCGGCUACCUGGACCGAUAUUGACGCUGAGACGCGAAAGCGUGGGUAGCAAACAGGAUUAGAUACCCUGGUAGUCCACGCCGUAAACGAUGAGUACUAGGUGUUGCGGGUAUUGACCCCUGCAGUGCCGCAGCUAACGCAUUAAGUACUCCGCCUGGGAAGUACGGUCGCAAGACUAAA